GAUGAACGCUGGCGGCGUGCCUAAUACAUGCAAGUCGAGCGAACAGAUAAGGAGCUUGCUCCUUUGACGUUAGCGGCGGACGGGUGAGUAACACGUGGGUAACCUACCUAUAAGACUGGGAUAACUUCGGGAAACCGGAGCUAAUACCGGAUAACAUUUGGAACCGCAUGGUUCUAAAGUGAAAGAUGGUUUUGCUAUCACUUAUAGAUGGACCCGCGCCGUAUUAGCUAGUUGGUAAGGUAACGGCUUACCAAGGCAACGAUACGUAGCCGACCUGAGAGGGGGACGGGCCCACAGGGAACUGGGACACGUGCCAGACCCCUACGGGGGGAAGGAGUGGGGAAUCUCCCGAAAGGGGCGAAAGCCUGACGGAGCAACGCCCGGGGGGUGAUAAAGGGUUUCGGCUCGUAAAACCUUGUUAUUAGGGAAAAACAAACGUGAAAGUAACUGUGCCCGCUUUGACGGUACCAAAACAGAAAGCCACGGCUAACUACGU
rnacentral:rRNA from 1 species